AAUCACGGUGAUGGCUUCAUAAAAUUCAAGCUCAAUAGACCAGAAUGCAGGGCUUUCUCUCUGAGGAGGAUGCUUUCCGUUUUAAUCGUUCUUAUUUUCCUGUUUUAGAGCUGAGGAUU